AGACACUCCGCUGCAACAUCUGUCCCCGCUUUGAUGGCCAGGGUUGACUACACCGACCUGGCUCUUCCUCCCUCACUGCUCUAUGUAAGUCCCUCCAGAGGCUGUGUGUUGGGUCGGAGAGGAUGGCCACCGCUGACCCAGGAGGACCUUUUCCUAGGUCUAGUGUAUCUGGGUAGAUGCACUCGCCUCCUAGAACCUCCAAUCAAUCAAGCUCUCACUGUCCUACACUGAAUAUUCUUAAUCCCUCAGGAAGAAGGAAAAUAUAGUAUAUUUAUGUGAAGACAUCCUAAUAAAUU
rfam:Fukomys damarensis contig112620, whole genome shotgun sequence.